AAGACUAUACUUUCAGGGAUCAUUUCUAUAGUUUGUUACUAAGUUCACUUUAACAAAUACUUACCGAGGGCGCCUGAGUGGCUCAGUUGGUUGAGCAGCUGCCUUCGGCUCAGG
rnacentral:snoRNA from 1 species